GGACGGGGCCCGCACAAGCGGUGGAGCAUGUUGGUUUAAUUCGAAGCAACGCGAAGAACCUUACCAGGUCUUGACAUCCCGAUGCUAUUUCUAGAGAUAGAAAGUUACUUCGGUACAUCGGUGACAGGUGGUGCAUGGUUGUCGUCAGCUCGUGUCGUGAGAUGUUGGGUUAAGUCCCGCAACGAGCGCAACCCCUAUUGUUAGUUGCCAUCAUUCAGUUGGGCACUCUAGCGAGACUGCCGGUAAUAAACCGGAGGAAGUGGGGAUGACGUCAAAUCAUCAUGCCCCUUAUGACCUGGGCUACACACGUGCUACAAUGGUUGGUACAACGAGUUGCGAGUCGGUGACGGCGAGCUAAUCUCUUAAAGCCAAUCUCAGUUCGGAUUGUAGGCUGCAACUCGCCUACAUGAAGUCGGAAUCGCUAGUAAUCGCGGAUCAGCACGCCGCGGUGAAUACGUUCCCGGGCCUU
rnacentral:rRNA from 1 species